GCACCCAGUUCAGCCGGUCCUCCGCACCGCCUAUAUGCAUUGACAGGACGGCAGGACCCUGAACCUUCUGCAGACGCGGCCACAGGUACACUUUUGGCAUUUUCUAUGAUAUGUGUGUGUUAAUUGAUCUGGAAUCUACUUUAUCAUACACCGUCCCUUGUGUUGCUGAAAAUUUCACAAAUGUAGGAAUAAGAGACGAAUGUAAAAAAAAAUAAAAAAAAUCAGGCAACCUAAGUCCCUAAAAUGGAUAUCUUAAGCGACGCGUGAGAUAAUUACAAAGGAGACCUCCCCGAAGUAUUAUAAUACACUAUGAGGCCAGUUUGACAUUCGAGGACGAAUGUUCUAAAGGGGGGGAUGAUGUUAUAUCCCGUAUUUUUGAACGUCAGAUUAUUUGCUGAGGUGGGGCCCACACAUCGAGAUUUUUUUUGGGACAUCUGAAAAGUCAUAUGAAUCACAUAUGUGAAGUUAAACACAACUCAAGAAGGACCCUUGGGCCAAAUCAAAGUGGAAGUCCUCCAAACGAAUAUUUUUAAGAAAACGUUUUCGGGUGAUCUGACUUCUAGGGGAAAAAACGGUAUUAUAAGUUUGGAAUUUGGAAAAUACCAAGAAAUAGAAGUUGUAGAUAAUUGAAUUAUCUUUACAACCAUAGGUCGUGGGUUCCCAGGUGACAUCGGUAUAAGGAGAUAUGGACGUUUUAAGGUCGAAAGGUCAGUGGGCUAGGCCCAACUCGGGAUCAACCGAGUUGGCCCAAAAAAAUAAAAAACGAAUUAAGGCCCAAAGGAGAGGGGUGGCCGGCCAUCUUAUGGCCCAAGCCCACAAAAUUAAUAAAUUUCCCAUGUGAUAAUUAAUAUAAAGGAUCAUUAAAUUGUCUUGAAACAUUUAGAAGUUUCAAGACAAUUGAGAAAGAGAGAAACAAGAGAAAGAAGAGCAAGAAUAAGAAGGCCAUUUUCGGCCAAGCUCUAGACCAAAAAAAAAAAAAAAAAAAAAAUUCAAAAAUCAUUUUCUACCAAUUAAAGGGUCCUUUACAACUUGGUGUAAUUAUUUUGGAAGAAAGAACACUUGUUUCUUCAAGUUGACAACUUGGUCAAGUGAAGAAGAUUGUAGAAAAAGAUUUUGGCGAACUUGAAACUUGAUUUUGGAGACGUGUAUGAAUCGGAAAAGGUCAACAGGUAGACAGAUUUGACUCUUAGAAGCUCCAUCAGCAGUACUGCGGCAGCGCUCCAGUUGUUCCGGAGCCUCAGUUUCUUGGUACUACUUUUGUGUACAUAUUCGGGCACGGUAGAACCGGUCCUUCUUGUAUAUGUAGAUGUACUUUGUUUAGAGGCUCGUAGACAGAUAUGUACAGUCAGAUGUUUUGUACUUUUGUGGUCCUCGUCGUUGUAUAAUGUGCUAGCAAAGUUUAUAAGUCCAUGUCUACAAUUAUGCCAUUAAUGUUAGCGUUAAGCAACAGAAAAAAAAAAAGAUAC